CAAUCUUUUUGGGGGCAAAAUGUCACAUAUUGCAAAUUUAGAGCCUAAAACUUGAGUUUGUCCUAUUUUUAGCUUUUCCCAUCCUGACAAUAUGCUUUUAUAUCAAAAAUGUCCUAAAUAAUGUUAUAAAUGCACAGAAAGUUAUUCUGUGGUGUUAAACAUUGAAACAUAAGUUGUUUACUACCCCCAAAAAAAUUUUGUCAUGCAGAUUUAAUGAAAUUAUUUGAUUUUUACUCCUUAUAGCAUUGCGUCAUACUAUGUACUUGGCAGAUAGCAUAGCCUAAUGUAAGCACUGCAGAAACUCACAAAAGCACCAUUUAUUAUUCCAAAUGAAAUUUUUAUAUCUUAAAUUUUAUUAACUGAUGUAAAUAAACACAGUUAAAUGACCAUGACUGCAUUUUGAUCAAUUUGUGGUACUUUACUGACACCAGAUGAAAAAAAGGGGGGUCAAUAUUCCUUGACACUUCAAUACCUUGGAUUUUUUACUAAAUUCAUUGCAAAAAUUGCUGGAAGUCUUUAAAGAAGUAGAACAAACAAGAAAAAAUCAGCAAACAAUGAUCUUGAUAUUGAAAGUUUAUGUUCCUGUAGCCCAAAAUGAAUAUUUCAAGUAUUUUCUAUCAAAG
rnacentral:lncRNA from 1 species